ACUAUGGUUCAUAAUAAUCAGGUUUAUGACUUUGUGUUAGGUUUCUUUGUUACCGUUUUCAAUCUUUCCAACUCCGAAUUCAAUUUCUUUUCUAGUUCAUCAUCGAUUCAUUCAACCCUAGUAAGAAACCCACAAUGUCAACUCGCCGCCAAUCUUUCUUCGACCCAAUUUCUUCUCUCCUUGCGAAAUUGAUUCGUUCUUUCAUCAAUCUUAAUUUCUCGAACCCUACAAAAUUUAUUUGAAUGAUUCAGUCAGUAUCGUUAUUUUAGGGUUUCAUGUUUCUGAACCCGAAAAUUCUUGAUUCAAUUUGAAAGAGAUAACUGAUUCGUUCUUUCAUUAAUCUUGAUUUCUCAAACCCUACAAAAUUUAUUUGAACGAUUCAGUUUCGUUAAUUUAGGGUUUCAUGUUUCUGAACCCUAAAAAUCUUGAUUCAAUUUGAAAGAGAUAUGUAGAAAUGGAAAAGAAUUCUAAGCCCUUGCAACUUGGGAUCAAACCAUUAAACGACAACUUAGUACUGUGGAUUCACUUCACUCUCAAUUUGAACUGUCAAGGAACUUUGUUACUCUGAGUUCUCAUCCACUAUUGAAGUCACCAGAUGGUGGAAAACAUUUAUCUUCACUUGAGUUUCAUUCUACCCUUCACAAGGCUAGUAAGGAACUUGUUACUCUGAGUUCUCAUCCACUAUUAAAGUCACCAGAUGUUGGAAGAUAUUUAUCUUCACUUGAGUUCCAUUCUACCCUUCAUAAUAAUAAAUAGGAGAUGAAGAAGGCCAUGGCUGUUGCAAAACACAGAGAUAGGACAUGGAGUGACACUACUGAACAGAUUGACCUUUGAAACAG